GAUGAACGCUGGCGGCGUGCCUAAUACAUGCAAGUCGAGCGAACAGACGAGGAGCUUGCUCCUCUGACGUUAGCGGCGGACGGGUGAGUAACACGUGGAUAACCUACCUAUAAGACUGGGAUAACUUCGGGAAACCGGAGCUAAUACCGGAUAAUAUAUUGAACCGCAUGGUUCAAUAGUGAAAGACGGUUUUGCUGUCACUUAUAGAUGGAUCCGCGCCGCAUUAGCUAGUUGGUAAGGUAACGGCUUACCAAGGCGACGAUGCGUAGCCGACCUGAGAGAGUGGUCGGCCACACGGGAACUGAGACACGGUCCAGACGCCUACGGGAGGCAGCAGUAGGGAAUCUUCCGCAAUGGGCGAAAGCCUGACGGAGCGGCGCCGCGUGAGUGAUGAAGGUCUUCGGAUCGUAAAACUCUGUUAUUAGGGAAGAACAAAUUUGUAAGUAACUAUGCACGUCUUGACGGUACCUAAUCAGAAAGCCACGGCUAACUACGUG
rnacentral:rRNA from 1 species